rnacentral:rRNA from 1 species
AACGAACGCUGGCGGCGUGGAUAAGACAUGCAAGUCGAACGGGACAUUUUUAGUAGUAAUAUUAGAGAUGUUCAGUGGCGAACGGGUGCGUAACACGUGGAUACAUUCCGGAAAGCGGGGGAUAGCCCAGGGAAACUUGGAUUAAGACCGCAUGUGGUCGCAAGACUAAAGACGGGGAUCGAAAGACCUGUCACUUUCCGAUUGGUCCGCGGCCUAUCAGCUAGUUGGCGGGGUAAAUGCCCACCAAGGCGACGACGGGUAGCUGGUCUUAGAGGACGACCAGCCACACUGGAACUGAGACACGGUCCAGACACCUACGGGUGGCAGCAGUCGAGAAUCUUUCACAAUGGGGGCAACCCUGAUGGAGCGACGCCGCGUGGAGGAUAAGGUCUUCGGAUUGUAAACUCCUGUCAUGCGAGAACAAGGUUGCAGGGCUAAUACCCGUGCAAAUUGAUGGUACCGCAAGAGGAAGAGACGGCUAACUCUGUGCCAGCCGCCGCAGUAACAC